AGGUUCUGAAGAGGACAAGCAGAAUGAUGACAGACUUGAAUCCAUAUCAUGUGAGGAUCGACUGAAGCAAGGAGGGCUUUAUCUUAAAGAAAAGAGGGUGCUUAGAGGGCACAUGACCUCGAUGGAAGAGACAACAGGGAUCAAGGUGCAUCCUGAACACUCUUGGAAGACAACAGGACAAAAACCAUGACUGAACAAGAGUCUCUGGAGAUUAGCCCCCCAUAUUGGCAAAGGAAGAGAAAUAAAAGGGCCUGUAAAACAGUCCACUUAAUCACA